CAGUCCUCACCUCUCCCUCGCGCCCUCCCUUCUCUAUCGCGUCCUCACCUCUCCCUUCUCGCAUCUCGCACGUCUCCCAUCCCCUCUGCGCCGCCAGACCCUCUCUCUCGCCCAGAUCCCGCCCCAACCCCGCGCCUCCGCUCCCUGCAUCGACCAUCGCCGCCAUCGCUGCUCCCUUCGUCACCGGCCCCCACCUUGCCUCCGCCGUGGCCGGGAUCCACGGGUCCACCUCGUCUUCGACCGCGGCAGGGAUGGCGUCGGUGCCGAGAUGGCAUCACGCAAGGAAGAUCCGCCCACCCGGGCUUCCCGGUAACCGAGUUCAGCUCAUGUGACGAGUAGCGGCAUCGUUCGCCCGCGCAGCUUCCGCUCUGCUGUGCUGAUUCCAGUUAAUUGAACAAACCAUUUUACGGUUUCUUUUGCCAAGCGGAUCGACGAGCCAGCAACCCACAGACCAUGUUAGCGGCCUGGUGCAAGUGGUAGUGCUUGCCGCCUGUGAACCGAGAGGUCACAGGUUCGAGCGGUGGCCUCUACACAUUGCACGGUGUGUGGGAAAGACCUCCCGCUAAUAACCUCUCCCAGACCCCGCACAGUGUGGGAGCCUACGGCACUGGGUACGUCCUUUUUUUAUGCAGAUUCAAAUGAUAAAUGGCCAAAUUCUUACUUCGAUGCAUACAAGAGCGGAUAAAGAAGCAAUGACGUUUAUGGAUACUAGAUAUUUAUCUUUACAUAUUAAUUUUUCUAGUAGUAUGGACUUGUACUCUUCACUACUAAAUGUAAAUUUUCUCUUUAGUAGAAUUGUAUAUUUAUGUGUAUGUUCCAUCAUAUGAUGUGAACAAAUACUAUGUUUGUAACCUUAGCUAUGAUUAAUGAAAUUUAUGUUCAGAGCGACUC